UACGUAGGGUGCAAGCGUUAAUCGGAAUUACUGGGCGUAAAGCGUGCGCAGGCGGCUUUGCAAGACAGAUGUGAAAUCCCCGGGCUCAACCUGGGAACUGCAUUUGUGACUGCAAGGCUGGAGUACGGUAGAGGGGGAUGGAAUUCCGCGUGUAGCAGUGAAAUGCGUAGAUAUGCGGAGGAACACCGAUGGCGAAGGCAAUCCCCUGGACCUGUACUGACGCUCAUGCACGAAGGCGUGGGGAGCAAACAGG
rnacentral:rRNA from 1 species